rnacentral:rRNA from 1 species
GCAUGCAAGUUGAGCGAAGCUUUUUGGUAGUUUACUACUAGAAAUGACUGAGCGGCGAACGGGUGAGUAACGCGUGAGCAAUCUACCUUAGUUACUGGGAUAGCCCGAGGAAACUCGGAUUAAUACCGGAUAUUCUUAUUUUUUCACAUGAAGUUUUAAGGAAAGGUCAGCCGAACUAAGAUGAGCUCGCGUUCUAUCAGCUAGUUGGUGGGGUAAAAGCCUACCAAGGCUACGACGGAUAGCUGGUCUGAGAGGACGAUCAGCCACACUGGGACUGAGACACGGCCCAGACUCCUACGGGAGGCUGCAGCAGGGAAUAUUGUGCAAUGAGCGAAAGCUUGACACAGCGACACCGCGUGUGGGAUGACGGUUCUAGGAUUGUAAACCACUUUCAGGAGGGAAGAAAAUGACGGUACCUCCACAAGAAGACCCGGCCAACUAUGUGCCAGCAGCCGCGGUAAUACAUAGGGGUCAAGCGUUGUCCGGAUUUAUUGGGCGUAAAGAGCUCGUAGGCGGUUCAACAAGUCGGUCGUAAAAGUUUAGGGCUCAACCCUAAAAUGUCGAUCGAUACUGUUGUGACUAGGAUACGGUAGAGGUGAAUGGAAUUCCGAGUGUAGCGGUGAAAUGCGUAGAUAUUCGGAGGAACACCAAUUGCGAAGGCAGUUCACUGGACCGUGAUCGACGCUGAGGAGCGAAAGCUAGGGGAGCAAACAGGAUUAGAUACCCUGGUAGUCCUAGCUGUAAACGAUGGAUACUAGAUGUAGGAACUGGAUUGACGGUUUCUGUAUCGUAGCUAACGCGUUAAGUAUCCCGCCUGGGGAGUACGGUCGCAAGACUAAAACUCAAAGGAAUUGACGGGACCCCGCACAAGCGGCGGAGCAUGCGGCUUAU